rnacentral:rRNA from 1 species
UACGGAGGGUGCAAGCGUUGUCCGGAUUUAUUGGGUUUAAAGGGUGCGUAGGCGGGCAUCUAAGUCAGUGGUGAAAUACUGCGGCUCAACCGUAGGAUUGCCAUUGAUACUGGAAGCCUUGAGUACGGGCGAGGUGGUUGGAAUGCGUGGUGUAGCGGUGAAAUGCAUAGAUAUCACGCAGAACACCUAUUGCGAAGGCAGAUCACUAGCACGGAACUGACGCUGAGGCACGAAAGUGUGGGUAGCGAACAGG